UACAUGGGGUGCAAACGUUGCUCGGAAUUAUUGGGCGUAAAGCGCACGUAGGCGGUCCGUUAAGUCGGAUGUGAAAUCCCUCGGCUCAACUGAGGAAGUGCAUCCGAAACUGGCAGGCUAGAGUACUAAAGAGGAUCGCGGAAUUCCCGGUGUAGAGGUGAAAUUCGUAGAUAUCGGGAGGAACACCAGUGGCGAAGGCGGCAUUCUGGCUCGCAACUGACGCUCAGACACGACAGCAUGGGGAGCGAACGGG
rnacentral:rRNA from 1 species